UACGUAGGGUGCAAGCGUUGUCCGGAAUUAUUGGGCGUAAAGAGCUCGUAGGCGGUUUGUCGCGUCUGCUGUGAAAACUCGGGGCUUAACUCCGGGCCUGCAGUGGGUACGGGCAGACUAGAGUGCGGUAGGGGAGACUGGAAUUCCUGGUGUAGCGGUGAAAUGCGCAGAUAUCAGGAGGAACACCGGUGGCGAAGGCGGGUCUCUGGGCCGUAACUGGACGCUGGAGGAAGCGGAAAGCAUGGGGAGCGA
rnacentral:rRNA from 1 species